rnacentral:rRNA from 1 species
ACACGACUACAUUAGAUACCCGCGUAGUCCUAGCCGUAAACGAUACUCGCUAGGUGUCGGCCACGGUGCGACCGUUGUCGGUGCCGUAGGGAAGCCGUGAAGCGAGCCACCUGGGAAGUACGGCCGCAUGGCUGAAACUUAAAGGAAUUGGCGGGGGAGCACAACAACGGGUGGAGCUUGCGGUUUAAUUGGAUUCAACGCCGGAAAUCUUACCGGGACCGACAGCAACAUGAAGGCCAAGCUGAAGACUUUGCCGGAUUAGCUG